rnacentral:rRNA from 1 species
CAGCMGCCGCGGUAAUWCGUAGGGUGCGAGCGUUGUNCGGAUUUAUUGGGCGUAAAGGGCUCGUAGGUGGUUGAUCGCGUCGGAAGUGUAAUCUUGGGGCUUAACCCUGAGCGUGCUUUCGAUNCGGGUUGACUUGAGGAAGGUAGGGGAGAAUGGAAUUCCUGGUGGAGCGGUGGAAUGCGCAGAUAUCAGGAGGAACACCAGUGGCGAANGCNGUUCUCUGGGCCUUUCCUGACNCUGAGGAGCGAAAGCGUGGGGAGCGAACAGGCUUAGAUACCCUGGUAGUCCACGCUGUAAACGGUGGGUACUAGGUGUGGGGUCCAUUCCACGGGUUCCGUGCCGUAGCUAACGCUUUAAGUACCCCGCCUGGGGAGUACNGCCGCAAGGCUAAAACUCAAAGGAAUUGACNGGGCCCCGCACAAGCGGCGGAGCAUGCGGAUUAAUUCGAUNCAACGCGUAGAACCUUACCUGGGUUUGACAUGGAUCGGGAGUGCUCAGAGAU